rnacentral:rRNA from 1 species
GAUGAACGCUAGCGGGAGGCUUAACACAUGCAAGUCGAGGGGCAGCAUAGGGUAGCAAUACUCUGAUGGCGACCGGCAAACGGGUGAGUAACGCGUAUGCAACCUACCCUGUACAGGGGGAUAACCCGGAGAAAUUCGGACUAAUAUCCCGUAAUAAUAUCCGGAGGCAUCUUUGGAUAUUUAAAGUUCCGACGGUACGGGAUGGGCAUGCGUAACAUUAACUGGUUGGUAAGGUAACGGCUUACCAAGGCUAUGAUGUUUAGGGGUCCUGAGAGGGUGGUCCCCCACACUGGUACUGAGACACGGACCAGACUCCUACGGGAGGCAGCAGUGAGGAAUAUUGGUCAAUGGGCGCAAGCCUGAACCAGCCAUCCCGCGUGCAGGAAGACGGCCCUAUGGGUUGUAAACUGCUUUUCCAGGGAGAGAAACUUACGCACGUGUUGCGUGACUGACGGUACCCUGGGAAUAAGCAUCGGCUAACCCGUG